UACAAGAACAGUCUGUGGUUAAGGUAUUAUGGUAAGACAUAAGCAACCUUUCUCCACUCUGCAAAACUCUGCCCUGUGAAAGUCUUAGGACUCAGGACCUUACUGAAAACACAGUGAAGUCGCAAGAAUAAUUUUAAUGAACUUCAGUAGCUUUUGGAUCAACCUGCAAAGAUGCUGUACACAGUGCACAUCUCUACAGGCAUUAUCAACGUGAAGCAGGUUCCUUGUGCUGCAGCAAUAAACUGGGUGGAAAAAUCUCUCUGGCAGAGGAUUUUUCCAGCUGGCAAGAACUGUAGGGAAAUGCAAUGGAGAAGGUUCUUUAUUAAGAAAAAUGAAGAAUAAUGAGUCUUGUGAAGUAACAACUCCACAGAUCUUUCAGAGGUCAAGCAAAGAAAAACUAUCUCUAGACCUGAAGAAAUCGGCCUUUUCUUACAUAGACCCC